CCCGCCCCGCGCCGCCUCUCUGGUUUGUGCGCCCGUCGCAGGUCGCAGGCCUCUUUGUCAGCUGGAGUUGCGCGGGCUGACGCGCCACUAUGUAGCGGGUUUCGGGCGGGCCACGCGUGCGGGACAGGAACCCAACCCCAGCCGACCUUGAGCUCCAGGAGUUCGUCUCUUACGUCUGCGGAAGUGCAGCUGCCUCAGUUCUUAGCGCAGGUUGACAACUACAGGCACAAGCCAUUGAAGCUGGAAUGUCCUGUUGCUGGUAAAGAAAUGGAUUAGUGAUAACUCAAGUUUCAUCACCUCUCUACAAGUUUCACGCUGUUUAAGUCAUGAACCUACAAAAGCCUGUGAAAAAAUCUUUGAAGAUGCUCAGCUUGUUUCAGUCUGAAAUUUCUCCAAGACCAAUGAACAAAACAGGAUCAUGCCCUGAAUACACACCCAAGCUGCAGGCUCCUGCUUAGCCCUAUUUUGGUUUGGCCUCCAUGAGAUCUUCAGCCACAAUAGCAGGAGAUAAAAAUCUUCCUAGAAGCUUUCAUCAGCUGCAAGUUUUCUUACAGAAUGAAACUUUUCUGCUAUUUUUCUCAUAGUUAAUUGGCUAUUUGAGAAAACCGAAUUUCUGGCUCUCAGCAUUUAAUUGGAUUCUGUGGGUGACUGGAUGACCGCUUUGCACAUCACCAUGGGUAUCAUCCUUACCUUCUUUAAACCUUUUGUGCCAGUCAAAAAUUCUUGCUCUUGAUAUGUCAUCACCGGAAACUACUUUUUUUUUUUGUUUCUCUUUUGUGACAGGGUCUUCCUCUGUCACCCAGGCUGGAUGGAGUAUAGUGGAACAAUCAUAGUUCACUGCGGCCUUGGUACCCUAGGCUCAAGCGAUCCUCCCACCUCAGCCUCCUGAGUAGGUGGGACCACAGGUGUGUACCACCAGACCUGGCUAAUUUUGUUAUUGUUGUUUUUUAUAGAGGUGGGGGGGUCUCCCUAUGUUGCCCAGGCCUGUCUUGAACUCACGGGCUCAAGUGAUCCUCCUGCCUCAGCCUCCCAAAGUUCUGGGAUUACAGGGGUGAGCCACUGGACCCAGCCAGAAACUACUUUUAACAGUUCUAAUUGCCACUUGUCUUGGCUGUAUAUUCAGAAAUAG
rnacentral:lncRNA from 1 species